rnacentral:rRNA from 1 species
UCGAGAAUCUUCCGCAAUGGGCGAAAGCCUGACGGAGCGACACCGCGUGCAGGAUGAAGGCCUUCGGGUUGUAAACUGCUGUCACGCCAUAGGAAAGCCCUGUCGUUAAUAGCGCCAGGGUUGACCAAAGCGAAAGGAAGCACCGGCUAACUCCGUGCCAGCAGCCGCGGUAAGACGGAGGGUGCGAACGUUGUUCGGAAUCACUGGGCAUAAAGCGCACGUAGGCGGUUCAGUCAGUCUGAUGUGAAAGCCCCCGGCUCAACCGGGGAACUGCAUUGGAUACUGCUGGACUCGAGGAUGGUUGGGGUGAGUGGAACUCCUGGUGGAGCGGUGAAAUGCGUAGAUAUCAGGAGGAACACCGGUGGCGAAAGCGGCUCACUGGACCAUUUCUGACGCUGAGGUGCGAAAGCUAGGGUAGCGAACGGGAUUAGAUACCCCCGUAGUCC